rnacentral:rRNA from 1 species
CUACGGGAUGCAGCAGUGGGGAAUAUUGGACAAUGGGCGCAAGCCUGAUCCAGCAAUACCGCGUGUGUGAAGAAGGCCUGCGGGUUGUAAAGCACUUUCAAUUGUGAAGAAAAGCGAGAGGUUAAUAGCCUUUUGUCAUGACGUUAACUUUAGAAGAAGCACCGGCUAACUCUGUGCCAGCAGCCGCGGUAAUACAGAGGGUGCGAGCGUUAAUCGGAAUUACUGGGCGUAAAGCGUGCGUAGGCGGUUUAGUAAGUCAGAUGUGAAAGCCCUGGGCUCAACCUGGGAACUGCAUUUGAAACUGCUGAACUAGAGUGUGGUAGAGGGAAGUGGAAUUCCGGGUGUAGCGGUGAAAUGCGUAGAUAUCCGGAGGAACACCAGUGGCGAAGGCGACUUCCUGGACCAACACUGACGCUGAGGUACGAAAGCGUGGGUAGCAAACAGGAUUAGAUACCCGGGUAGUC